rnacentral:lncRNA from 1 species
CCAUGUCCACACCCCACCGUCCCCAUGUCCACACCUCACCGUCCCCCGCGUCCACGCCCCACCGUCCCCCGCAUCCACCCCCCACCGUCCCCGCAUCCACACCCCACUGUCCCCACGUCCACCUCCCACCGUCCCCAUGUCCACACCUCACCGUCCCCCGCGUCCACGCCCCACCGUCCCCAUGUCCACACCCCACCAUCUCCAUGUCCACACCCCACCGUCCCCCACAUCCACACCCCACCGUCCCCAUGUCCACACCUCACCGUCCCCAUGUCCACACCCCACCAUCUCCAUGUCCGCACCCCACUGUCCCCAUGUCCACACCCCACCGUCCCCCGCGUCCACACCCCACCGUCCCCAUGUCCACACCUCACCGUCCCCCGCGUCCACGCCCCACCGUCCCCAUGUCCACACCCCACCAUCUCCAUGUCCGCACCCCACUGUCCCCAUGUCCACACCCCACCAUCCCCCGCGUCCACGCCCCACCGUCCCCAUGUCCACACCUCACCGUCCCCCGCGUCCACGCCCCACCGUCCCCAUGUCCACACCCCACCAUCUCCAUGUCCACACCCCACUGUCCCCAUGUCCACACCCCACCAUCUCCAUGUCCACACCCCACCGUCCCCCACAUCCACACCCCACCGUCCCCAUGUCCACACCUCACCGACCCCGUGUGCACACCCCACCGUCCCCAUGUCCACACCCCACCGUCCCCAUGUCCACACCUCACCGUCCCCCGUGUCCACACCCCACCAUCUCCAUGUCCGCACCCCACUGUCCCCAUGUCCACACCCCACCAUCCCUUGCGUCCACGCCCCACCGUCCCCAUGUCCACACCCCACCAUCUCCAUGUCCGCACCCCACUGUCCCCAUGUCCACACCCCACCAUCCCCUGCGUCCACGCCCCACCGUCCCCAUGUCCACACCCCACCAUCUCCAUGUCCACGCCCCACUGUCCCCAUGUCCACACCCCACCAUCUCCAUGUCCACAUCUCACUGUCCCCCGUGUCCACACCC